CAAGGACAACAACCAACCGAGCCACUGCCUGUUCAUCCGCCCAUCAGCCAGAACACGAGUUUUCUUGAUCAUUCCGUGACCCACCCGCUGCAGCGCCGUCGUUCAGCAGCAGAUGAUGCGCUUUCAGCCACUGACUUGUAAUUACCAGUCGUUAUCACUCACCUCUGUCAUCAAAUGCUAGCCACUAACUGAGUUCUGACUGGUUGAAAAACAAACACAGUGAUGAGUUUCUCUCUCUUUCAUACAAACUUUGAAUAAUAACGAGGAGCACCCACAAGGUGUUUUGUACCAGGAAGUGCUUAAUAUUGACUCUCUCAAAAUGUUUUAAAAAAAACAUACACAGCAUGAUGGUAAACCCAGGGAGUUUGUUCAGAACAGGGACGAGUGCUUCAGGAAUCAGUGCUUCGACGGUGGAAAAGUAAGUCAGCUAGCAAGGCGUUGUUGUCAUUUGUUAACAAAGAUUAAAAGCAGAAAUAAGGGAGUAUUAUCUCUCAGUGGUAGAUGUGAGUUUCUCUUUCAAACAAUCCCAUGGCCUUGUACACAGCUAAUAGCUAACGUUAGCCAAAGCAAGCUAGCUCGCUACUUUUGUGCAAUCCUAAAUAAUAGUAGAGAUGAAGAUGAAAUGAAAUGAUUGUUGAAAACAAGUUUAGGUUGGAACUGUUAUUCUGAACCGGAAUAAACUGAUUGAAGCAAGAUGCUUUUUGAAGCAAACACACAGUUCUGGGUUGCUCAUCUACAGCAGGAAGCGGUCUCCUGCCUGACUGAGAAAGCAGUAGAUGUUCUGAUCCAGUUUGGCACCACAUACCUAUGCGAGUCAGGGUUCUCAACUCUGACAAACUAAAAAAAACAAGUACAAAAACAGCCUCGAUGCUGAGCAUGACCUUAGUGUUACACUGUCAAAAACUGAGCCCAGAAUAGACAUGCUUGUUGAAAACUUCAACCAGCCACACAGCUCUCAUUACGACUGUGUGUGUGUGUUCUGUUAUACAUUGUGUGAUAUGAUCAAAUUAGUUUAUUCCAGUUUAGAAUAAAAAUUAUUUACUGUAUUUUAACAGCAACAGUUCCAACCUAGACAGAUAUGUAAGAGUGUUUUAAUGGGGUAAAAUAAACAUGAAUAGAUAUGUAUAUGGGUAUUUCAUUGAAUUGUAAUUUAUUUUUGUCUAUAUUACAUAUGUUUUAGGCAUACAGGAAAUGAAAUGUACCGAUAUUGUCACGAGUCCGACCGAGGGUGGUUUCCCUUGCCGGUCGGGUGGCGCUCGGCGGUCGUCGUCACCGGCCUAUUAGCUGCCACUGAUUGUCUUUCCUCCCCCUCCUUGUAUGUUCAUUGGUAGCACCUGUUUGUGAUGAUUAGUUUGUCUUUAUUAAACAGCCGGCCCGUCUGGUUGUUGUGCGGGAUUAUUCAUUGUAACCUUCGGCUCUGUAGUAGAGGAACGUGUUAGUUCCUGGUCGUGCAUUUUUCAGUAGUCAUUUUUUAAUUCCCUGUGUUUUGGGGCUGUUAUUAUUGUGAGCACCCUGUGGUGCGUUGGUGCAAUUAAAGAGCACAGCAUUGUA